rnacentral:rRNA from 1 species
AUACAUGCAAGUUGAGCGAUGAAGAUUGGUGCUUGCACCAAUUUGAAGAGCAGCGAACGGGUGAGUAACGCGUGGGGAAUCUGCCUUUGAGCGGGGGACAACAUUUGGAAACGAAUGCUAAUACCGCAUAACAACUUUAAACAUAAGUUUUAAGUUUGAAAGAUGCAAUUGCAUCACUCAAAGAUGAUCCCGCGUUGUAUUAGCUAGUUGGUGAGGUAAAGGCUCACCAAGGCGAUGAUACAUAGCCGACCUGAGAGGGUGAUCGGCCACAUUGGGACUGAGACACGGCCCAAACUCCUACGGGAGGCAGCAGUAGGGAAUCUUCGGCAAUGGACGAAAGUCUGACCGAGCAACGCCGCGUGAGUGAAGAAGGUUUUCGGAUCGUAAAACUCUGUUGGUAGAGAAGAACGUUGGUGAGAGUGGAAAGCUCAUCAAGUGACGGUAACUACCCAGAAAGGGACGGCUAACUACGUGCCAGCAGCCGCGGUAAUACGUAGGUCCCGAGCGUUGUCCGGAUUUAUUGGGCGUAAAGCGAGCGCAGGUGGUUUAUUAAGUCUGGUGUAAAAGGCAGUGGCUCAACCAUUGUAUGCAUUGGAAACUGGUAGACUUGAGUGCAGGAGAGGAGAGUGGAAUUCCAUGUGUAGCGGUGAAAUGCGUAGAUAUAUGGAGGAACACCGGUGGCGAAAGCGGCUCUCUGGCCUGUAACUGACACUGAGGCUCGAAAGCGU